GUGGCUUAGUGGUUAGCAUUGUUGCCUCACACCGAGAACGUCAUGGGAUCGAUUCCCACCUGUGGCCUUUCUGUGUGGAGUUUGCAUGUUCUCCCCGUGCUUGUGUGGGUUCCCUCCAGGUGCUGCGGCUUCCUCCCCCAUCCAAAGACUUGUAAAUUAGGUUUGCAUUGGCUACAAAG